GGAUAGCUCAGUUGGUUAUAGAGCAUGGUGCUGGUAACACCAAGGUUGUAGGUUUGAUCCCCAUAUGGAACA
rnacentral:tRNA from 1 species